rnacentral:rRNA from 1 species
GACAUAGGUGGCAAGCGUUGUCCGGAAUUAUUGGGCGUAAAGCGCGCGCAGGUGGUUUCUUAAGUCUGAUGUGAAAGCCCACGGCUCAACCGUGGAGGGUCAUUGGAAACUGGGGAACUUGAGUGCAGAAGAGGAAAGUGGAAUUCCAAGUGUAGCGGUGAAAUGCGUAGAGAUUUGGAGGAACACCAGUGGCGAAGGCGACUUUCUGGUCUGUAACUGACACUGAGGCGCGAAAGCGUGGGGAGCGAACAGG